UCUGCCCAGCUUUGAAGUCUGGAAGAAUAAACAACAUUCAAAGACUGAACUUAUUUUUACAUCCAGUUCAAAUAUUUGGGCUGAGUGGCAGUAAUCUAAGUGCAAGACCACAGGAGGUUUUCUGUAACAAGUGAGAACAACAAGAAUUAGCUCUCUCAGCACUUCAACAAGCAGAGAUUUUUGUCUGUAAUGAGAAGAAUGAGACUUGUUUGACAUAAACUACAAAACAACACAGCAAAGAUGAAGAAGGAGGGCAGAAAUACAUUACUGAAGCUGGCAUCAUUCCAGAGGAGGGGUUGAAAGAAGGUAGGUCUUACCAACUGUGCUAAAUCCUGUUGGGGAACUGACCACAGCAGCAUACCACCUGAGUUUGUGUAAUCCAAAAGAUUCCUGUUUUAUUCUUCUGUACCAGGUCCUUCUUUAUGCAGAUAUGCAAAUUCUCUUUGGACUCCUGAGAUUUGAAAACUGAUUAGAAUUUUUAUGUUCCUUCAUUAAGGGUAAAAAUAGGCUAUCCCAUGAUAGACAGCCCCCCAAAUUAUAUACUGAUCUGAGAAAAUGGGAAUAGCUUACUUUUGCCAUUAAAUGAAAAACUUUUUUCCACAACCAUAGCUUGGUUGUGCCU